CCCUUAGAUGUUCUGGGCGGCCCGCGCACUACAAUGGCGUGUGCAACGAGUGCCGAAGUAGAGUUUUCCGAGGUAUUCUUGCAAUGCUCGUUUUGAUGGGGAUAGACCCUUGCAACUGUUGGUUUUGAACGAGGAAUUCCUUGUAAGCAUGGUUUAUCAUCCGACGCUGAAUGCGUCCCUGCCCUUUGUACACACCGCCCGUCGCUCCUACCGAUGAGUCGUCCGGUGAAGUUCGUAGACCUCGUGAUCGCGGAUCACUGGGGGAAGCAAAAUGAACCUCGCGGUUUAGAGGAAGGAGAAGUCGUAACA
rnacentral:rRNA from 1 species